rnacentral:rRNA from 1 species
CAGUAGCCGCGGGAAUACAGAGGGUGCGAGCGUUAAUCGGAAUUACUGGGCGUAAAGCGUGCGCAGGCGGUUUUGUAAGACAGAGGUGAAAUCCCCGGGCUCAACCUGGGAACUGCCUUUGUGACUGCAAGGCUAGAGUACGGCAGAGGGGGAUGGAAUUCCGCGUGUAGCAGUGAAAUGCGUAGAUAUGCGGAGGAACACCGAUGGCGAAGGCAAUCCCCUGGGCCUGUACUGACGCUCAUGCACGAAAGCGUGGGGAGCAAACAGGAUUAGAUACCCGGGUAGUCCCUGUCUCUUAUAC